GUCGUUUAGUCGUGUCCGACUCUUCGUGACCCCAUGGACCAGAGCACGCCAGGCACUUCUGUCUUCCACUGCCUCCCGCAGUUUGGUCAAACUCAUGCUGGUAGCUUCAAGAACACUGUCCAACCAUCUCAUCCUCUGUCGUCCCCUUCUCCUUGUGCCCUCCAUCUUUCCCAACAUCAGGGUCUUUUCCAGGGAGUCUUCUCUUCUCAAGAGGUGGCCAAAGUAUUGGAGCCUCAGCUUCAGGAUCUGUCCUUCCAGUGAGCACUCAGGGCUGAUUUCCUUAAGAAUGGAUAGGUUUGAUCUUCUUGCAGUCCAUGGGACUCUCAAGAGUCU
rnacentral:lncRNA from 1 species